UCUUUGAUAGUAUAGUGGUUAGUAUAUCUGCUUGUCAGUUAACCUUAAAUAUAGAUAAUGCUAGGUUCAAUUCCCUGCCAAAGAU